AUUGAACGCUGGCGGCAGGCCUAACACAUGCAAGUCGAACGAGUGGCGGACGGGUGAGUGAUGUCUGGGAAACUGCCUGAUGGAGGGGGAUAACUAAUGGAAACGGUAGCGAAUACCGCAUACCAUAAGAUGUGCCCAGAUGGGAUUAGCUAGUGGGUGGGGUAAUGGCUUACCAAGGCGACGAUCCCUAGCUGGUAGGAGAGGAUGACCGGCCACACUGGAAGUGAGACACGGUCCAGACUCCUACGGGAGGCAGCAGUGGGGAAUAUUGCACAAUGGGGGAGAGCCUGAUGAAGCCAUGCCGCGUGUAUGCAGAAGGCCUUCGGGGUGUAAAGUACUGUCAGCGGGGAGGCGUUACCCGCAGAAGAAGCCCCGGCUAACUCCGUGCCAGCAGCCGCGGUAAUUC
rnacentral:rRNA from 1 species